rnacentral:rRNA from 1 species
GGAAUUUUGGGCAAUGGCCGCAAGGCUGACCCAGCGACGCCGCGUGCGGGAGGACGCCUUUCGGGGUGUAAACCGCUGUCAGGGGGGACGAACCGCCGGGGGAAGAAUCCGCCUCCGGUCUGACGGUACCCUCAAAGGAAGCGCCGGCUACCUCCGUGCCAGCAGCCGCGGUAAGACGGAGGGCGCGAGCGUUUUUCGGAAUCACUGGGCGUAAAGCGCGCGCAGGCGGAUGGGUAAGUCGGGGGUGAAAGACCGGGGCUCAACCCCGGGGCGGCCUCCGAGACUGCUCGUCUGGGGACCGGUAGGGGCAGGUGGAAUUCCCGGUGUAGCGGUGGAAUGCGUAGAGAUCGGGAAGAACACCGGUGGCGAAGGCGGCCUGCUGGGCCGGAUCCGACGCUGAGGCGCGAAAGCGUGGGGAGCAAAC